AGGGAACAAGGACCAGGUCCUGAUCUCCAAGACCAGUAUCAGCUUGGGAACUCAUCCGAGAUCAUCACUGAGGAUGAGAGGCUCAGGCAGCUCAUGAUACUGCACAUGUCAUGUAUAUGUCUGCUCCCCUCCAGAGGGAACACCACAGCCGCCCACUUGGAUCAUCCAUGCACAUGUCCUCCAGGUGGUGCUGAGGAUUGAACCCAGUGCCUCACAUGUGGGAGGCAAGCGCUCUGCCACUGAGCCUCAACCCCAGCCCCUCUACUAUGUUCUUUACAUUCAAUAUUCCACCCAGAAAGAUACACUGUGACUCCUGGAUGGAAGGAAAUCUGUUAAAAUUAUCUUCAUAUGAAAAACAUCGUCUGUCUUAGUACAAAGGUAUUUGAAAGGAUAAGAUAUAGGAUUGGGGCUUUGGAUGGAUGACAUGGGGACAGCAAGGAAGUAGUAUAGAUUGGCUGUUCAUUGUAGAUUGGGUGAUGUCAAGAAACUGAAGCAAUUGUGGGAUGGAGUGUCUCUGUAAAUCUUAGUCAUAAUAAGUAAAGACCAGAGUAAGAAUAAAACUGUAAUUGGUCAAGAAGCUGCUGCCAGUCAUAUUCACCAACAUAGGAGAUGGUUAGUGUUUUGUGACUUGCACAGUUCCUUAUUUUUGCAAAUGCUUAGAAAAAGUUAUGUAUUACUCUUAUUUUUAAUCUCACUUUGUGUGGCUGUAGAAUGAGCUUGUCUGACAUUGCUUAUUAACAUGCCUUUUAUCCAACAGGGAAUAGCACAGCCCUCAGUUCCUGAAUCCUGUGAGCACCAGGACAGUUCCUAAGAAAUCUGAGGCCUAGCUCUAAGUGUCAGAGCAGUUCCCAGAUGUCAAGAUCUGUUUUUUCUUCUUUCUUAAAUUCAAUAUUUUCUACUGCCUAUAUCCCCAUUCAAGAAAACAAUAAAGAUUAGAAGUUAAGUAGAUUAGA